UACGGAGGGUGCGAGCGUUGUCCGGAAUCACUGGGCGUAAAGGGCGCGUAGGCGGCCUGAUAAGUAGGGGGUGAAAUCCUGCGGCUUAACCGCAGGGCUGCCUUCUAAACUGUCAGGCUCAAGCACAGUAGAGGCAGGUGGAAUUCCCGGUGUAGCGGUGGAAUGCGUAGAGAUCGGGAAGAACACCAGUGGCGAAGGCGGCCUGCUGGGCUGUUGCUGACGCUGAGGCGCGACAGCGUGGGGAGCAAACAGG
rnacentral:rRNA from 1 species